rnacentral:rRNA from 1 species
AUUGAACGCUGGCGGCAGGCCUAACACAUGCAAGUCGAACGGUAGCACAGAGAGCUUGCUCUCGGGUGACGAGUGGCGGACGGGUGAGUAAUGUCUGGGAAACUGCCCGAUGGAGGGGGAUAACUACUGGAAACGGUAGCUAAUACCGCAUAACGUCGCAAGACCAAAGUGGGGGACCUUCGGGCCUCACACCAUCGGAUGUGCCCAGAUGGGAUUAGCUAGUAGGUGGGGUAAUGGCUCACCUAGGCGACGAUCCCUAGCUGGUCUGAGAGGAUGACCAGCCACACUGGAACUGAGACACGGUCCAGACUCCUACGGGAGGCAGCAGUGGGGAAUAUUGCACAAUGGGCGCAAGCCUGAUGUAGCCAUGCCGCGUGUAUGAAGAAGGCCUUCGGGUUGUAAAGUACUUUCAGCGGGGAGGAAGGCGGUGAAGUUAAUAGCUUCACCGAUUGACGUUACCCGCAGAAGAAGCACCGGCUAACUCCGUGCCAGCCGCCGCAGUAAUAC